rnacentral:rRNA from 1 species
CCUACGGGUGGCAGCAGUGAGGAAUAUUGGUCAAUGGGCGCUAGCCUGAACCAGCCACGUAGCGUGAAGGAUGACUGCUCUAUGGGUUUAAACUUCUUUUAUAUGGGAAUAAAGUGCCGUAUGUAUACUGCUUUGCAUCUACUUUAUGAAUAAGGAUCGGCUAACUCCUUCCCAGCAGCCGCGGUAAUACGGAGGUUCCGAGCGUUACCGGGCUUUAUUGGGUUUAAAGGGAGCGUAGGCGGGAUGUUAAGUCAGAUGUGAAAGUUUGCGGCUCAACCGUAGAAUUGCAGUUGAUACUGGCAUCCUAGAGUACAGUAGAGGUAGGCGGAAUUCGUGGUGUAGCGGUGAAAUGCUUAGAUAUCACGAAGAACUCCGAUUGCGAAGGCAGCCUGCUAGACUGUAACUGACGCUGAUGCGCGAAAGUGUGGGUAGCAAACAGGAUUAGAUACCCGGGUAGUC